GGAAGGAAGGAAGGAAGGAAGGAAGGAAGGCCUAUUCCAGGUCCUUUCCUGACACCCUAAACUACUGUGUCUGCCGACAUGGCAUGGUUGAGGCUGCCCGCCUCCAGGAUCUCCAGUGAGCUUCAUAUUCUGUUCUCGCCUUGAAUUCUGACUUUUUCUAGGGAAAAAGACCACAAUAACAGCAAUAGGAGAAGCUAUUUCAAGAGCACUGACACCUGGCUGCUUUCUAUGGUCCUUUCCUAUCCUACUUCCCCAUCAUCUGCUAUCAAUUCCUAAUCUAGAUGAGGUACCUGUGGAAUAAAAACAAUUACAAAUCUUACAAACCAAACCACUGAAAAAUUAGGAAGACUACAAGAUGAGUUAUUCCAUCAUUCCUUGGCCCUCCUCAGCACUUUGUUCUAGGAAGGUGACAUCAUCGGUCAAAAGAAAAAUUGAUUCUCCAUAUGUGUGAAUGAUAGUGAGGACUUUUUUCUUCUCUUAUUAAUAUUCUCUGGCUGUGUGGCUUUUCCUAUUGCAAAUAUACACAGGUAUUAAAAGAGAUGUGACAAUAUAUACUUAUAGUUUUAACAUUCUAAGGAUUUUUUUUACUGCAUUUUAGAAACAGUUACGGUGCUUGAUUUGCUGCUGCAUUUGUACAAUUGGAAAAGAAUUGCUGGAAAAGGUUGGUAAGUUAAGGAAACUGUAUGGUUUACAGGCAAAAUUCAAUGAAGAGUCUGAUUAGUUCAUGAUUUAUUUUAUGCUUUUAAAGGCAAAUGAAUUCAAAGUAUUUAGAGAGUGUUUUGUGUCCCAGAGGUCCUGUUAGAACUUAAUAUGGUCUUCUACUUGCUGGAAUAGUCCUAAAGAAAUAAGUGAUAUGUCACAACUGUAAGUGAAGGAAUGCUGUGUAAUAUAAACAAAUUAUCAGUAAAACUGAACCAGGGUUACUUGCCUAAUAAAUUAGUUUUUGGCACAUAUUUCACAAACAUUAAUUUUAAUGUCUAC